CCCUUAGAUGUUCUGGGCCGCACGCGUGCUACACUGAGUGGAUCAGCGGGUCAGGUUGCGCGAAAGCGUUUCCUAAUCUUUAAAUCCGCUCGUGAUGGGGAUUGACGGUUGCAAUUUUCUGUCAUGAACGAGGAAUACCUUGUAAGCGCGGGUCAUCAUCCCGCGCUGAAUACGUCCCUGCCCUUUGUACACACCGCCCGUCGCUCCUACCGAUUGAGUGGUCCGGUGAGGCUUUGGGAUCUGAGCGGAAAGAGCGUUUCGCUGUUCUGCUCGGAAAACUCAGUCGAACCUUAUCAUUUAGAGGAAGGAGAAGUCGUAACA
rnacentral:rRNA from 1 species